CGGGAGGCCCGGUUGCGGCAGGCUACACGACUCUUGGAGUGUGGACAAGGUGCCGGGCCCCAGAUGAUCCAGAAGACUUGGUGAAAUGGUGGAGCGCAAGGGGGAAAAAGCCUUGGUCUCUUAACCACAGUGUGGAAGCUUAUCUACGGACACGGUACAGUGGAAGUCCAGGUUAUUUCAGAGUCAACUUCACCAGUGAAUGAAAGAGAAAGAACAAAGGAGAGAGGGAAA